AAAAACAAAAUUAUUAACAUUCUUAUCCCUAAAACCGUUUCUAAAAAAUUUGAAGCGACAACACCGGAACUUAAGCGCCUGAGCCAUACGCAUAGUGUCAUCUGUCAAACGGCUUUUUGUUUAUGUUCGGGAUUCGUGUAUUUUCUUUAAUUUUUUGGUUUCAAAAGGAAAAAGACCACAUUUUAGUGUUUUUUUAAAUUGCUAGGAUGGCAAAAACGUGUGUCGUUUGUGCCGCAUCAUGAUAAAAAGGUGAUUCAAGCCGAUCUUUUCACAAGAUUUCUGAUGCACUGGUUAAAAACACAACAGCCGAUAAGUCAGUUAAUUUACUAAGUGAAUGACCCUUCAAAGCUGCAAGGGUAGUUUUCCUGAAGAGUGCAAAAACUUCUUUAGCUUCCAAAAUGGUAUAUAGUACAAACAGUGAAGCUAAUAUAGACAAAUCUGAUCAUUCAUCAUCAACAAUAACUGCUUCUGAGAUUAAUAGUUACUGUGGGGUCUAGGUCAACAAUUACUAUUUCCCAUCCAAUCCGUUUUUGUUUAACUGCUACACAUUCCCUGACUCUGCCAAGGAAAAGGUAAAAAUACACUCAAAAUAGACAUCAUUAUAGCACAUUUAAAAAUUAUUGUUCAAUUCUUUCUCUAAGUACAAAUAAGACUUUUAUGCCAUGUAUCAUCUUAUUCUAUAUAUCUUAUUUAAAAGUGAUAUAGUAUUUUAUUGUGUUAUAUUUGUA